rnacentral:rRNA from 1 species
UACGUAGGGAGCAAGCGUUGUUCGGAUUUACUGGGCGUAAAGGGCGCGUAGGUGGCCCGGUGAGUCUUUGGUGAAAGCGCGGGGCUCAACCCUGCGUCGGCCAGGGAUACUGCCGCGGCUCGAGCACUGUAGAGGCAGGCGGAAUUCCGGGUGUAGCGGUGGAAUGCGUAGAGAUCCGGAAGAACACCGGUGGCGAAGGCGGCCUGCUGGGCAGUGGCUGACGCUGAGGCGCGACAGCGUGGGGAGCAAACAGG